AAAAAACUAUUUUGCCAAGCCGAAGUAAACUACCGCUGUUCAGCAGGAGGUUAUUCACACUUGGCCUCAGGCUUCAGGAUAAAUGUUGAAUGAAGCCACUUCGAAUGACACUCUUGGCAUUGAGAUUGUCUGCAGUGUUUGUGGAAAGGGAAAGGAAAUAUCUCAACACUUUAGACUGGGGACUUAAGCCAAGAAAAACUCCUAAGAUUGUAUCCAACUUCCUACUGCCAAUGGAAGUUCAGCGGAAAAUAUGCAUCCCGCCAUGACAGCUUGUCAUUCAUUCUGGACCUUUUACAAGAAUAGCAUAAAGCUGGAAUGUGAAGUUAGUUCUGUGAGACACUUCAAAGAACCUCUGCAGACAUCCCCACAAAGAUUAACAGUCACAGGAAUCAGAGUGAGGACCUUGAAGAUGUACCUGUUUUCCCGGGCUUUUAACUGAAAUUUUAAUUUUAAUGUGUGUUUUGCUAUGAACCGCACCUCCCAUUGAGAUCAUCUGGAGAGGUCUGUCUGCAGUUCCCACCUGCUCGUCUGGUGGCUACUCCGGGACGGGCCUUCCACACUGCUGCCCCGAGGCUUUGGAACACACUUCCUGCUGAAAUAAGAGCCUCCCCAUCUCUGACAACUUUUAAAAGGGCAGUCAAGAUGCAUCUGUUCACCCAGGCUUUUAAUUAGAUAUUGUUUUAAUUGUGUUUUAAUAGUUUUAACUUUUAAAAUGUUAACUGUUGAAAUAUGUUAAUCUUUUUAUUGGUUGUUUUUAUUGUCCUGUAAACCUCCCAGAGAACUUGUGU